AAAGAUUUAAUUCUUGGGUUUCCGUGUUCAACGUUUGAUUGUCUGUCUUAUAUGAAAUUUUUUUAUGAUUAGUAUUUUCAUUAUUGUUAGAUGAUAAAACAUGAAUAAUACUUUAUGCAUGACUUAUCUUUUUAAUUUUUUUUUAAUUUUUUUUAAAUAAGACGAACGGUCAAAAGUUAGACAUGAAAACCCAG
rnacentral:pre_miRNA from 1 species